rnacentral:tRNA from 1 species
GUGGCUGAGUGUUAAAGUACUUGGCUUCCGGACCAGGGGUCCCAGGUUUGAAUCCUGGC